UACGAAGGGGGCGAGCGUUAUUCGGAUUUAUUGGGCGUAAAGGGCGUGCAGGCGGCUGGGUAAGUCUGGUGUGAAAACGCUACCGCUCAACGGAGCGACUGCGCUGGAAACUACCCAACUUGAGUCCAGAAGAGGUGUGUGGAAUACCUGGUGUAGCGGUGGAAUGCUCAGAUAUCAGGUAGAACAUCAGAGGCGAAGGCGACACACUGGUCUGGAACUGACGCUGAGGCGCGAAAGCAUGGGGAUCAAACGGG
rnacentral:rRNA from 1 species